rnacentral:lncRNA from 1 species
AAAUGCAAGUUGCAUCCCCAAAUGCGAGGCUGGCCUGACCAAAAAGAGCCGCUCGGCGCCCGGAAGAGGCGAGACUCGCGCUCGGGUUCUCAAUCCUUCUCUUUUCUCCUUUCUUUUUCCCUUUCUCCUCUCCGGUUCCUGAUUUAGCUGGGAGCUGUUUAUUUAUGGCUGCAAAUGUGUGUGUGCAAGAGAGAGAGGGAAUUGAUCUUUGCCUGGACUUAAAGAUGGAGCCGAAGAAACUGGAGGGAAUUUGGGCUUGUGCGUCUGGCCCAGACCCUGGGCGCCUAGGGGGGCCGUUGGGCGCCGAGCCCGAGGUCUAUCCUCCCCGCACCUCUCACCUCGCGACCUUGCAGGAAUCCGCGGGCCCGGAUGCUGCCCAGCUGACCCUCCUGCCCCGGGCCCGGCUGCAGAGAAAGUCUUCGGGCAGGAGGCCAUCCUGUCCCUGUCUUUAAAAUGAGCACAGUAAAAGGGGGCAAAUCCUCGAACGCGAACCUGAUCUCAUGUCACAGAAGCAACUUGCCAUGAAAUCCGCUAAUGCGCUGCGACUCGCCCACCAGGCAUCUGGGGAAAAGACGCCCUGACUCAAGGGUGU